AGAUGGCGACCGGCGCACGGUGAGUAACACGUAUCCAACCUGCCGAUAACUCGGGGAUAGCCUUUCGAAAGAAAGAUUAAUACCCGAUGGUAUAAUCAGACCGCAUGGUUUGAUUAUUAAAGAAUUUCGGUUAUCGAUGGGGAUGCGUUCCAUUAGGCAGUUGGUGAGGUAACGGCUCACCAAACCUUCGAUGGAUAGGGGUUCUGAGAGGAAGGUCCCCCACAUUGGAACUGAGACACGGUCCAA
rnacentral:rRNA from 1 species